GUUCUCGUGGCCUAGUGGUUAUGGCGCAUGUCUUACAUAAAAGCCCUUCUGAGUAAGGUGAAUAUAGGAUCACAUGAGAUCCCCGGUUCGAUCCCGGGCGAGAACA